rnacentral:rRNA from 1 species
AUUGAACGCUGGCGGCAUGCCUUACACAUGCAAGUCGAACGGUAACAGGUCUUCGGAUGCUGACGAGUGGCGAACGGGUGAGUAAUACAUCGGAACGUGCCUAGUAGUGGGGGAUAACUACUCGAAAGAGUGGCUAAUACCGCAUGAGAUCAACGGAUGAAAGCAGGGGAUCGCAAGACCUUGUGCUACUAGAGCGGCCGAUGGCAGAUUAGGUAGUUGGUGGGAUAAAAGCUUACCAAGCCGACGAUCUGUAGCUGGUCUGAGAGGACGAUCAGCCACACUGGGACUGAGACACGGCCCAGACUCCUACGGGAGGCAGCAGUGGGGAAUUUUGGACAAUGGGCGCAAGCCUGAUCCAGCAAUGCCGCGUGCAGGAUGAAGGCCUUCGGGUUGUAAACUGCUUUUGUACGGAACGAAAAGCCCUGGGUUAAUACCCUGGUGUCAUGACGGUACCGUAAGAAUAAGCACCGGCUAACUACGUGCCAGCCGCCGCCGCGG